rnacentral:rRNA from 1 species
CACGAACGCUGACGGCAGGCUUAACACAUGCAAGUCGAGCGCCCCGCAAGGGGAGCGGCAGACGGGUGAGUAACGCGUGGGAAUCUACCCAUCUCUACGGAAUAACGCAUGGAAACGUGUACUAAUACCGUAUACGUCCUUCGGGAGAAAGAUUUAUCGGAGAUGGAUGAGCCCGCGUUGGAUUAGCUAGUUGGUGGGGUAAAGGCCUACCAAGGCGACGAUCCAUAGCUGGUCUGAGAGGAUGAUCAGCCACACUGGGACUGAGACACGGCCCAGACUCCUACGGGAGGCAGCAGUGGGGAAUAUUGGACAAUGGGCGCAAGCCUGAUCCAGCCAUGCCGCGUGAGUGAUGAAGGCCCUAGGGUUGUAAAGCUCUUUCACCGGUGAAGAUAAUGACGGUAACCGGAGAAGAAGCCCCGGCUAACUUCGUGCCAGCCGCCGCCGUAACAC